rnacentral:rRNA from 1 species
UUGAACGCUGGCGGCAGGCCUAACACAUGCAAGUCGAACGGUAACAGGAAACAGCUUGCUGUUUCGCUGACGAGUGGCGGACGGGUGAGUAAUGUCUGGGAAACUGCCCGAUGGAGGGGGAUAACUACUGGAAACGGUAGCUAAUACCGCAUAACGUCGCAAGACCAAAGAGGGGGACCUUCGGGCCUCUUGCCAUCGGAUGUGCCCAGAUGGGAUUAGCUAGUAGGUGGGGUAACGGCUCACCUAGGCGACGAUCCCUAGCUGGUCUGAGAGGAUGACCAGCCACACUGGAACUGAGACACGGUCCAGACUCCUACGGGAGGCAGCAGUGGGGAAUAUUGCACAAUGGGCGCAAGCCUGAUGCAGCCAUGCCGCGUGUAUGAAGAAGGCCUUCGGGUUGUAAAGUACUUUCAGCGGGGAGGAAGGGAGUAAAGUUAAUACCUUUGCUCAUUGACGUUACCCGCAGAAGAAGCACCGGCUAACUCCGUGCCAGCAGCCGCGGUAAUACGGAGGGUGCAAGCGUUAAUCGGAAUUACUGGGCGUAAAGCGCACGCAGGCGGUUUGUUAAGUCAGAUGUGAAAUCCCCGGGCUCAACCUGGGAACUGCAUCUGAUACUGGCAAGCUUGAGUCUCGUAGAGGGGGGUAGAAUUCCAGGUGUAGCGGUGAAAUGCGUAGAUAUUAGGAGGAACUCCGGUGGCGAAGGCGACUUUCUGGACAGAAACUGACGUUGAGGCACGAAAGUGUGGGGAGCAAACAGGAUUAGAUACCCUGGUAGUCCACGCCGUAAACGAUGUCGACUUGGAGGUUGUGCCCUUGAGGCGUGGCUUCCGGAGCUAACGCGUUAAGUCGACCGCCUGGGGAGUACGGCCGCAAGGUUAAAACUCAAAUGAAUUGACGGGGGCCCGCACAAGCGGUGGAGCAUGUGGUUUAAUUCGAUGCAACGCGAAGAACCUUACCUGGUCUUGACAUCCACGGAAGUUUUCAGAGAUGAGAAUGUGCCUUCGGGAACCGUGAGACAGGUGCUGCAUGGCUGUCGUCAGCUCGUGUUGUGAAAUGUUGGGUUAAGUCCCGCAACGAGCGCAACUCUUAUCCUUUGUUGCCAGCGGUCCGGCCGGGAACUCAAAGGAGACUGCCAGUGAUAAACUGGAGGAAGGUGGGGAUGACGUCAAGUCAUCAUGGCCCUUACGACCAGGGCUACACACGUGCUACAAUGGCGCAUACAAAGAGAAGCGACCUCGCGAGAGCAAGCGGACCUCAUAAAGUGCGUCGUAGUCCGGAUUGGAGUCUGCAACUCGACUCCAUGAAGUCGGAAUCGCUAGUAAUCGUGGAUCAGAAUGCCACGGUGAAUACGUUCCCGGGCCUUGUACACACCGCCCGUCACACCAUGGGAGUGGGUUGCAAAAGAAGUAGGUAGCUUAACCUUCGGGAGGGCGCUUACCACUUUGUGAUUCAUGACUGGGGUG